rnacentral:lncRNA from 10 species
CCAGGAACACAUUUAUUAUCAUUAUCACGUAUUGUGUAUUGUACAGAAUGGUGUGUGCUGUGCUAUCCAGGAACACAUUUAUUAUCAUUAUCAAGUAUUGUGUACUGUACAGAAUGGUGUGCGCUGUGCUUUUAUGCAAGUGGCAGCACAGUAGCUUUACACGAGCAUCACUAGACACAUGAGUAGCAUUGCACUCGGCAACAGGAAUUUUUUCAGGCCCAUUAUUAUAAUCUUAUGGGACCGCAUCCUAUAUGCAGUUUGUCAUUGACCAAAAUGUCCUUAUGCGAUGCAUGACUAUAUUUGCAAAGGACUAGUAUCUAGAAUACAUUUAAAAGUCUUAAAAUAGUAACAAAACAAAGAAUGCAAUUAGAACAUGAGCAAAAGAUACAAAGCAACAUUUCACUGGAGAAGAUAUACAGAUUGCAAAUAAGCACAUGAAAAGAUGUUUGAUACCAUUAGGGAAACGCUUCUUUAAACCAGGAGAUAUCACCACGUGUUAGAAUCAACAAAAUAAGGCCAGGCAUGGUGGCUCACACCUGUAAUCCCAACACUUUGGGAGGCUGGGGCAGGCAGAUCACAUGAGAUCAGGAAUUCAAGACCAACCUGGCCAACAUGGCAAAACCCUGUCUCUGCUGAAAACACAAAAAUUAGCCAGGUGUGGUGGCACACGCCUGUAGUCCUAGCACCUUGGGAGGCUGAGGCAAGAUAAUUGCUUAAACCCAGGAGACGGAGGUUGCAGUAAGCUGAGAUCAUGCCACUGCGCUCCAGCCUGGGCGACAGAGCAAGAUUAUGUCUCAAAAAAAAAAAAAAAAAAAAGAAUCACCAAAAUAAAAAAUAGUAACAAUACUAUUGUCAAGGAUGCAAAGGAACUGUACCACUCAAUCACUGCUGUGAGAAUUUAAAGUGGUGCAGCCACUCUGGGAAACAGCUUGGCUGUUUUUUUUUAUGACUGAAUGUGCAACUACUAUAUGAUGCAGUAAUUUCAUUUUUGCACAUUUAUCCCGGAGAAAUGAAAACAUAUAUUCACACAAAACCUGUAUAUGAAUGCUAAUAAAAGUCAAUUGGCCAGGUGUGGUGGCUCAUGCCUGUAAUCCCAGCACUUUGGGAGGCUGAGGCAGUGGAUCACCUGAGGUCAGGAGUUUGAGACCAGCCUGGCCAACGUGGUGAAAACUCGUCUCUACUAAAAAUACAGCAAUUAGCUGGGUGUAAUAGUAGCCACCUGUAAUCCCAGCUACUGGGGAGGCUGAAGCAGAAGAACCUCUUGAACCCGGGAGGCAGAGGUUGCAGUGAGCUGAGAUCGUACCACUGCACUCCAGCCUGGGCGAUAGAGUGAGACUCUGUCUCAAAAAAUAAAAUAAAAUAAAUAAAAAGAUUAGAUAAUCUGCAAAGUUCCUGUGAGCGCUGUCAUUUUGUCACUCUGGUUUUUCAGAUUCUUCCCCUGGAGGCUGGAGUUUCCAGGAUGUCAAAAUUACCUCUGCUUGGGUGAGCUAUUUCAAGCAGCUGGGAUACCUGUGUCACUCCUGCUGUCUGCCAGUGACUGCCCAGGUGUCUGCUGGUUCCUCCCCAGGAGUAGGGAGGAACCAGGUGGGCUGGCUGGGAUGGGUGGAUAUUUAAAGACCAGGCCUUGGACGCUGCAGCACUUCUAUCUCUGCUUGAUGCCUGCUGCCACGUGGCUGGUCCUCCUCCUCCUGCUGUGGCUGAGCCUUGGGGUGAAGACAGGCAGCUGCUCCCAACCCCAGAACCUUUGCUGUCUUGGGACGGAUCACCGCUGCAAGAGGGGAAGUUGCUACUGUGAUGAAUUCUGCCAUGUGGCACCAGACUGCCACCCAGACCACAGUGUCCUCUGCAACCCUGGUAACUCACAUACAGGCCCGAUUCCACCUACAGCAAAGCUGGAUGCGAUGGCUGGCAGAGGCAAACCCUUUGCCUGCACUUCAGGCCAAAGCCGGGAUGUGGCCUAGAUGGUUCCUAAGGUCCCUGACAAUCCUGAGAUCUUGCAUCUUGUCUAUUUCAGGUCAAAGGUGCCUACAUGCUCCUUCUAGCUUUGUUUCCCUGAUGUUCCUUGCCACCUGCUACUCCUCUCUGAGCUACUUUUCCAGGUUCCACAGGGAGAGGUUCAGCUGUCCGUGGUAGACAUGAGGGUAGAGAAUGAGGUGGUUGGGUUCCACUUACCUUUCUAUCAUCUUGCAGUAUGGAUGUCUCUUGACUGGUACCGUGUAGACUUUUGAGGGCACACAGGAGUCUGCAGAGAGAUACUGGGGACAUUGAGCAGCAGCAGUGGGGUUGGGAGGCAGAAAUGAGGACAGGAACAUUUACCUUGUGUUUCUCUCAGCUUCUCAGAUGACCAAGAUGGUGCUGCAGAUGGUGCUGAGGAUGGAGAACCCACCAAGC